rnacentral:tRNA from 1 species
CAGAGAAUAGUUUAAUAAGAAUAUUAAUUUUGGAGAUUAAUGGUAAGUAGGUCUUUUCUCUGA